AAACCAGAGCUAAAAUUGGUUAAAUAUCCGAACAUGUUCAAAACUUUGGUAUCUAGAGAACCUGAACUAAACCCGAUUCAACCUGAAAUAUUUUGGAUAUCUGAAUCAAAUUUAUAUAUUUAAAUAUAUUAAUUAUCUUAAAAUUUAAUAUAUAACAAUAUCUAGUAUAUAAGAUAUUUUGAAGUUGUCUAAAAUAACUGAAAAUAUAUACAAUCAAAAGUAAUUAUAAAAAUAGCUAAACAAUAAUCAAACACCAAUUAUACUUAAAAUAUAUAUUAAUUUUCUAUUCAAAUAUUUAAGCCAAACCAAUUUAUAUAUUAGGUUUAUGUACUUUGGCAUACAUUAUUUUAAUUUAUAUGUAAUAUAUUAUUUUUAUUUUUAGAUUUUGAGAAAUUUGAAUUAUAUAUGAAUUUAAUUUUUUAAAAAAUAAUUUAAACGAGCUAUCCGAACCCAAACCGAGUCCGCAAAGAUCCGAACCAAAAUUUAUAAUUACCUGAAUGGGGCUGAUAUCUUUAACUCAGAAUAUCCAAAACCCGAAUAGAC
rnacentral:lncRNA from 1 species